GAGUUUGAUCGUGGCUCAGAUUGAACGCUGGCGGCAUGCCUUACACAUGCAAGUCGAACGGCAGCACGGGAGCUUGCUCCUGGUGGGCGAGUGGCGAACGGGUGAGUAAUGCAUCGGAACGUAUCCUGGAGUGGGGGAUAACGUAGCGAAAGUUACGCUAAUACCGCAUAUUCUGUGAGCAGGAAAGCGGGGGACCUUCGGGCCUCGCGCUCUUGGAGCGGCCGAUGUCGGAUUAGCUAGUUGGUGAGGUAAAGGCUCACCAAGGCGACGAUCCGUAGCAGGUCUGAGAGGAUGAUCUGCCACACUGGAACUGAGACACGGUCCAGACUCCUACGGGAGGCAGCAGUGGGGAAUUUUGGACAAUGGGGGCAACCCUGAUCCAGCCAUGCGCGUGAGUGAAGAA
rnacentral:rRNA from 1 species